UUAGCGGCGGACGGGUGAGUAACACGUGGGUAACCUGCCUGUAAGACUGGGAUAACUCCGGGAAACCGGGGCUAAUACCGGAUGGUUGUUUGAACCGCAUGGUUCAAACAUAAAAGGUGGCUUCGGCUACCACUUACAGAUGGACCCGCGGCGCAUUAGCUAGUUGGUGAGGUAACGGCUCACCAAGGCAACGAUGCGUAGCCGACCUGAGAGGGUGAUCGGCCACACUGGGACUGAGACACGGCCCAGACUCCUACGGGAGGCAGCAGUAGGGAAUCUUCCGCAAUGGACGAAAGUCUGACGGAGCAACGCCGCGUGAGUGAUGAAGGUUUUCGGAUCGUAAAGCUCUGUUGUUAGGGAAGAACAAGUACCGUUCGAAUAGGGCGGUACCUUGACGGUACCUAACCAGAAAGCCACGGCUAACUACGUGCCAGCACCCGCGGUAAUACGUAUGUGGCAAGCUUUCUCCGAAAAUUAUUGGGCGUAAAG
rnacentral:rRNA from 1 species